UACAGAGGGUGCGAGCGUUUAAUCGGAAUUACUGGGCGUAAAGCGUGCGUAGACGGCUAUCUAAGUCGGGUGUGAAAGCCCCGGGCUCAACCUGGGAAUUGCAUUCGAGACUGAAUAGCUAGGGUACGGUAGAGGGAAGCGGAAUUUCCGGUGUAGCGGUGAAAUGCGUAGAUAUCUGGAGGAACACCGGUGGCGAAGGCGGCAUCCUGGACCGGCAUUGACGCUGAGGCGCGAAAGCUAGGGGAGCAAACAGG
rnacentral:rRNA from 1 species